AAGGAUCAUUACCGAGUGAGGGCCCUCUGGGUCCAACCUCCCACCCGUGUUUAUUUUACCUUGUUGCUUCGGCGGGCCCGCCUUAACUGGCCGCCGGGGGGCUCACGCCCCCGGGCCCGCGCCCGCCGAAGACACCCUCGAACUCUGUCUGAAGAUUGAAGUCUGAGUGAAAAUAUAAAUUAUUUAAAACUUUCAACAACGGAUCUCUUGGUUCCGGCAUCGAUGAAGAACGCAGCGAAAUGCGAUACGUAAUGUGAAUUGCAAAUUCAGUGAAUCAUCGAGUCUUUGAACGCACAUUGCGCCCCCUGGUAUUCCGGGGGGCAUGCCUGUCCGAGCGUCAUUGCUGCCCUCAAGCCCGGCUUGUGUGUUGGGCCCCGUCCUCCGAUCUCCGGGGGACGGGCCCGAAAGGCAGCGGCGGCACCGCGUCCGGUCCUCGAGCGUAUGGGGCUUUGUCACCCGCUCUGUAGGCCCGGCCGGCGCUUGCCGAUCAACCCAAAUUUUUAUAUCCAGGUUGACCUCGGAUCAGGUAGGGAUACCCGCUGAACUUAA
rnacentral:rRNA from 1 species